rnacentral:lncRNA from 1 species
GAAAUGAGCAGCCCCCUGUCACGUCUCCUGCCACCUCCAGUCACCUGCUAGAACAGAGACUUCCAAAUUUCCACUGCAGGCAAAGGCAAAGAAGCCCUCUGAUCUGCCACUGAUUGAAGAAAUUUUGAGGAAUCCCAACCUGAUGGAUCUGCAGCAUAGAAGCAGAGUAAGUAGAAAUGCAAAGAAAACACAGUUCUUUGUGGCAGAGACCAUCAGGUGUUCACACUGAUUAAGCAGCAUUAUU